CUAAUUUUUUUAAUCUUUUUUAUUCAAAAAUAUCAUAUUACCUAAAUGACCAUUAUACCCGACACCCACCUACCAACCCAGACAUUGCAACGGAGAUUAGCAAUUGAAGAUGUGUGUUUCUGCUGUAUCAAAGAUGAGCAAUUGAAGAUGUUGGUGGCCUCCAUUCAUCCUUACAUUUCGAUCAGACCUGAGCUCGUGCUUGUCGCCGGUAAGAGAGCUUGUUGUUGGUUUGACGAUGAAGCACGACGGUCGGUUCGUUGACGCUCCGAGUUGUCGCCGAACCGAACUGGGUUGCUACACCUCAACAACUUCCGGUGAACAAAACCAGUCACCAACCAUCACCGUCCACGUCUUUUGAAUUCACAUUCCUGGUGAUCGCAACAUCGUUGUCUAGGCCAGUAAGCAGUUCACCGACACCGAAUUUGAAAGCCCUAUAUUCACGUCGUUGAGGGCAUUGAGAAACCAAUCCUCUGAUUGAGGAGGCCGACUCGGGUUUCAACAAGAAUAGAAAGAGACGGAGGCGAAAAAAACUUUUGGGAGGCAUCGGGAUUGGCCGCUGAGAAGGGGUUUUGGAGAGAACGAAGCUGUUGAAAAACCAGUCGGCGCUCAAGGUCCUUCUUCUUGAUAGUCAGCUAGGGUCAACUGGUCCCACGGUACAGGGUCGGAGACCCAAUUUGAGGAGACCGAGAGAAAACAGAGGGCUUUGGCGGUGGAGAGUUGUAGAUUCCGGUGACAAGUUGAGGAACCAAUCCUCUGAUGGGUGUUGGGUUGGGAUUGGGAUUGGGAUUGUGUAGAUGGUGGCGGCGACGAUUGGUCAUAGGCUGGGAUUGUGUGGGCGGCGGCGACGACGGCGAUGGCGGAUGUCUAUGUGGGGGCGGCGGCGGCGGAUGUCUGUGUAUGUGUGUGUAUAUAUAUAUAUAUAUAUAUGUCUCUGUGUGUAAUGUGUGUGUAUAUAUAUAUAAUUUGUAAAUUUACAACUUUUUAAGAAUAUUUUAGUCUUUUAAUUUAAUUCUUUAAUCUGGUUUGACAAAUUUAAA